rnacentral:rRNA from 1 species
UACGAAGGGAGCUAGCGUUGUUCGGAAUUACUGGGCGUAAAGCGCGCGUAGGCGGAUUAUUAAGUUAGGUGUGAAAUCCCAGGGCUCAACCCUGGAACUGCACUUAAUACUGGUAAUCUAGAGUUCGAGAGAGGUGAGUGGAAUUCCGAGUGUAGAGGUGAAAUUCGUAGAUAUUCGGAGGAACACCAGUGGCGAAGGCGGCUCACUGGCUCGAUACUGACGCUGAGGUGCGAAAGCGUGGGGAGCAAAC